rnacentral:rRNA from 1 species
UCAUCUUCGGGGGUAGAGCACUGUUUCGGCUAGGGGGUCAUCCCGACUUACCAACCCGAUGCAAACUACGAAUACCGAAGAAUGUUAUCACGGGAGACACACGGCGGGUGCUAACGUCCGUCGUGAAGAGGGAAACAACCCAGACCGCCAGCUAAGGUCCCAAAGUCAUGGUUAAGUGGGAAACGAUGUGGGAAGGCACAGACAGCCAGGAUGUUGGCUUAGAAGCAGCCAUCAUUUAAAGAAAGCGUAAUAGCUCACUGGUCGAGUCGGCCUGCGCGGAAGAUGUAACGGGGCUAAACCAUGCACCGAAGCUGCGGCAGCGACACUAUGUGUUGUUGGGUAGGGGAGCGUUCUGUAAGCCUGCGAAGGUGACCUGUGAGGGUUGCUGGAGGUAUCAGAAGUGCGAAUGCUGACAUAAGUAACGAUAAAGCGGGUGAAAAGCCCGCUCGCCGGAAGACCAAGGGUUCCUGUCCAACGUUAAUCGGGGCAGGGUGAGUCGACCCCUAAGGCGAGGCCGAAAGGCGUAGUCGAUGGGAAACAGGUUAAUAUUCCUGUACUUGGUGUUACUGCGAAGGGGGGACGGAGAAGGCUAUGUUAGCCGGGCGACGGUUGUCCCGGUUUAAGCAUGUAGGCUGAUUAUCCAGGCAAAUCCGGAUAAUCAAGGCUGAGGUGUGAUGACGAGGCACUACGGUGCUGAAGUAACAAAUGCCCUGCUUCCAGGAAAAGCCUCUAAGCAUCAGGUAACAUCAAAUCGUACCCCAAACCGACACAGGUGGUCAGGUAGAGAAUACCAAGGCGCUUGAGAGAACUCGGGUGAAGGAACUAGGCAAAAUGGUGCCGUAACUUCGGGAGAAGGCACGCUGGUGUGUAGGUGA